ensembl:lncRNA
AGGAAACUUAAGAAAGUUUUUUGAAGCUUGAGAUGAAAAAAAUAAGCUUAUUACCUUACCUUUCCCUUUUUACACUUGUUUACAGGAAAGGCACUGUCAUUUUACAGCUAAGCAAAAUUACACUAGCAUAAUGCCUUGCCCACAAAAGGCACUCAAUAAUUGUUUAAUAAAUUAAUGAUUAUGCAGCUCUUUUUAAAUGAUUUAAAGUACUAUAGCUGUUAACAGUAUUUUCAAAAUAGCCCUCAAAAUCUGCAUUGGUCUUAUAAGUUAUAAACAUGAACCAAUUAGCAGAUGUUAAAUUGCACUGCAUUUUUGAGAUGUCUUAUCCUGGAAUGGAAAUGAGUUCUCCAAGACUGUCAAGUGAGGACCCAUCUCAGCAGGUCCUACGGGGCUAGAAAGAGCUUAGAGGAUGGACUCUGUAUGCGUCCAAUGACAGCAAGAGUCAAUUUCAGAAUCUCAUCACUAGGUCUCCUCUAAUAGCUUCCAUCCGGCAACUAUUUCCGUAUGCAUUAACCCAUUCUCUUCCUUCCUGUUUUUCACAUCUUAUGUUGGAUAUCGUAAGCAAACCAUCACCACCACUGACUAUAGAAGGAACAUGCAAGUUGGCCAGCCUAUGGACCAAUUCACCAUAUCUGCGUCUAUAAAAAUAAAAUUAUCUUCUCUGGACA